AACAAGGCGUACCUGCGGACCUGCGGAAGGAUCAUUACAGAGUUGCAAAACUCCCUAAACCAUUGUGAACGUUACCUAAACCGUUGCUUCGGCGGGCGGCCCGGGUCCUUCCCGGCGCCCCUCGGCCCUCGCGGGCGCCCGCCGGAGGUAAACCAAACUAUUGCAUUGUAUGGCCUCUCUGAGUCUUCUGUACUGAAUAAGUCAAAACUUUCAGCAACGGAUCUCAGAUCGGAAGAGCAC
rnacentral:misc_RNA from 1 species